rfam:Oryza sativa Japonica Group DNA, chromosome 6, cultivar: Nipponbare, complete sequence.
AAUAAGUACAGUUUUGCACUAUUCAUCUUCAACAUUUGACCGUUUGUUUUAUUUGAAAUUUUUUUAUGAUUACUAUUUUUAUUGUUAUUAGAUGAUAAAACAUAAAUAGUACUUUAUGUGUCACUAACUUUUUAAAAAAAAUUGCAUAAAUUUUUUAAAUAAGACGGACGGUCAAACGUUAGACACGGAUUUUCAUAGCUACAUUUAUU